GAUGAACGCUGGCGGCGUGCCUAAUACAUGCAAGUCGAGCGAACAGACGAGGAGCUUGCUCCUCUGACGUUAGCGGCGGACGGGUGAGUAACACGUGGAUAACCUACCUAUAAGACUGGGAUAACUUCGGGAAACCGGAGCUAAUACCGGAUAAUAUAUUGAACCGCAUGGUUCAAUAGUGAAAGACGGUUUUGCUGUCACUUAUAGAUGGAUCCUCGCCGCAUUAGCUAGUUGGUAAGGUAACGGCUUACCAAGGCAACGAUGCGUAGCCGACCUGAGAGGGAGAUCGGCCACACUGGAACUGAGACACGGUCCAGACUCCUACGGGAGGCAGCAGUAGGGAAUCUUCCGCAAUGGGCGAAAGCCUGACGGAGCAACGCCGCGUGAGUGAUGAAGGUCUUCGGAUCGUAAAACUCUGUUAUUAGGGAAGAACAAAUGUGUAAGUAACUAUGCACGUCUUGACGGUACCUAAUCAGAAAGCCACGGCUAACUACGUG
rnacentral:rRNA from 1 species